rnacentral:tRNA from 2 species
GGAGGGGUGCACCGAACUGGCUAAGGGGCCGGUCUCGAAAACCGGUGGCCCUCGCGGGCCUUGUGGGUUCGAGUCCCACCCCCUCCGCCA